AAGUCUAAGUUGUUAAUGGAUAUGAUAUGGGAAGGUUGAGCUGCUGUUUAUCUGUUCCUAGAGAUGCUAGAAUUCUGGAGAAUUUUAUCUUUGAAAAUCUUUAAAAUGUUGCAUGAUGAGUUCCUGUAUGAUAAGAGUUUAAAUUCCUACCACAACCAUAUAUACAUGCUUGCUAGACUUUGAGCCACACAUUUACUAUUUACUGCUUAUGAGCAUUGAGUGUGGUCAAGCUGUGUAGACCCUUAGGAGCUUAUCAUGUGGUUAAAUCAAGAUUUCACUUGCACGUUCACUCAUAUAUGCUACUUCUACUCCGGACGUACCAUCCACAUAUAUCCACACAUUUCCAUCUCCAGAACCACCCAAAAAUAUUCUACUCCUGAUCCGGGAGAGAAUAGCCAAAAAUAUUUCUGUUUUUCCCUGUGAAAUAAAUGCUCAAGUUAUCUUGUUACUACCACUUGCUAUAUUAUCUCAAGAGAUGAGUGCUCUAAAUAAAAAAAAGGUAUACGAGGAAAUAAAAAGGGGCAAGUGCCCGGAACCUCGAAAGAAAAGAAAAAGUGAGACGAGAGGUAAAAAUGGACAAGUGUCCGACAGUAGAAUUAGGGGUACAAGAAUACCCACCUGAGAGAAAAGAAAAAGAAGAGCAUCUCAUUCUCCUCAUAAAAUUUCAAAAAGCAAGGAAGGUAUGUAUCCCCUCAAAAGAGCAAAAGUAGAAUUAGACUUUCACCAUUGUUAUCACCAUCAUCACCAUACACCAUUCAUUCGCCACACAUGUACAUCUUGAUUUGAACUUACUGAUUUGUUUCUUUGGAUCCAUGGUUUGACUAUACAAUAAAUGUCUUGUAAGUAUGUAUACUUUGUCUCCCACCUAUGAGCUCCAGAUAGCCUUAUUAGAGUAGGGUGAGAGAGAAGGCAAUAUCAUUAUGCCUUAUACCACAAAUACUACAUAUCUUGAGAGAAGGCAUAUGCCAUCACUGCCUUGGUAAGGAUCCAGAAAUACCACAAAAGAGAGAUUUGAGAGAGUCAUACAAGGAAUCUCUGAGUUUUAUUUGAAAAUCUGCAAAAACUUCAGAGCUAUAGUU
rnacentral:lncRNA from 1 species